CCUACGGGUGGCAGCAGUGAGGAAUAUUGGUCAAUGGACGAGAGUCUGAACCAGCCAAGUAGCGUGAAGGAUGACUGCCCUAUGGGUUGUAAACUUCUUUUAUAUGGGAAUAAAAUGUUCCCCGUGUGGGAUUUUGUAUGUACCAUAUGAAUAAGGAUCGGCUAACUCCGUGCCAGCAGCCGCGGUAAUACGGAGGAUCCGAGCGUUAUCCGGAUUUAUUGGGUUUAAAGGGAGCGUAGGUGGAUUGUUAAGUCAGUUGUGAAAGUUUGCGGCUAAACCGUAAAAUUGCAGUUGAUACUGGCAGUCUUGAGUGCAGUAGAGGUGGGCGGAAUUCGUGGUGUAGCGGUGAAAUGCUUAGAUAUCACGAAGAACUCCGAUUGCGAAGGCAGUUCACUGGACUGCAACUGACGCUGAGGCUCGAAAGUGUGGGUAUCAAACAGGAUUAGAUACCCGAGUAGUC
rnacentral:rRNA from 1 species